rnacentral:rRNA from 1 species
AGUGAACGCUGGCGGCGUGCUUAACACAUGCAAGUCGAACGAGAACGGAUUAUAGCUCGCUAUAAUUGUCAGCUAAGUGGCGCACGGGUGAGUAGUGUAUAGGUAAUAUGCCUCUUACUAAGGGAUAACAAAUGGAAACGUUUGCUAAUACCUUAUACUCCUUAUUAACAGAAGUUAAUAAGGGAAAGAUUUAUUGGUAAGAGAUUAGCCUGUAUUGUAUCAGUUAGUUGGUGGGGUAAUGGCUUACCAAGACUAUGACACAUAACUGGUUUGAGAGGAUGAUCAGUCACACUGGAACUGAGACACGGUCCAGACUCCUACGGGAGGCAGCAGUGGGGAAUAUUGCACAAUGGACGAAAGUCUGAUGCAGCAACGCCGCGUGGAGGAUGACACAUUUCGGUGCGUAAACUCCUUUUAUAUGAGAAGAUAAUGACGGUAUUAUAUGAAUAAGCACCGGCUAACUCCGUGCCAGCAGCCGCGGUAA